CAUGUAGGCAGUUGCCUCCUAUUGCGGGCUCACUGACAAAAAAAAUAAUAAAUGGGGAAAGAAAACACUGAAAAGAAAAAAAAAUGGUUAAGAUCAUGCAUUUUUAUUGCACUGGUUGUUAGUUAAAACAACAAGGUGGUAAAUCAUAAUGGCAUGCAGGUGUGUUCAAUAUUUGGAUCUGAACGGUCGGUACCCAACUCAACUCCGUUGCAC
rnacentral:lncRNA from 1 species